rnacentral:rRNA from 1 species
GACGAACGCUGGCGGCGUGCCUAAUACAUGCAAGUCGAACGCUGAAGGAGGAGCUUGCUUCUCUGGAUGAGUUGCGAACGGGUGAGUAACGCGUAGGUAACCUGCCUGGUAGCGGGGGAUAACUAUUGGAAACGAUAGCUAAUACCGCAUAAGAGUAGAUGUCGCAUGACAUUUGCUUAAAAGGUUCAAUUGCAUCACUACUAGAUGGACCUGCGUUGUAUUAGCUAGUUGGUGAGGUAACGGCUCACCAAGGCAACGAUACAUAGCCGACCUGAGAGGGUGAUCGGCCACACUGGGACUGAGACACGGCCCAGACUCCUACGGGAGGCAGCAGUAGGGAAUCUUCGGCAAUGGACGGAAGUCUGACCGAGCAACGCCGCGUGAGUGAAGAAGGUUUUCGGAUCGUAAAGCUCUGUUGUAAGAGAAGAACGAGUGUGAGAGUGGAAAGUUCACACUGUGACGGUAUCUUACCAGAAAGGGACGGCUAACUACGUG